rnacentral:rRNA from 1 species
AUGAGGUGCUUCUCCUCCAUGGUGAGGUGGUCCUGCUCCCAAGCCAUCUCCAUCGAGAAAUGGGGCACACCAUCAUACUUGCCGACGAAGGCGUCCGCCAUCUCCAACCAGGGGACCACCAUAGUCAACUGUCGGACCACCUCCUUCAAGUGCGAAGCAUCCCCCCUCCGUGUCCGGGGUCGAAGGAAGACCGGCCACAAUGCCGCUCACACGCCUAGUCUCGACGGCACGGACAACCACCGCAAUAUGAAUGCGGCGCUCCAGCGUGAGAAGCUUGUAGCACGUGAUCUUCAUGCGCGCCAUUCUCGGAAAGACACGAUGCUCCGACGCUGCCCGUUCGACGAAAUGCGCCCCAAGGAAUCCAAGCGGUGGGUGCCGGUUAACCGGCCGGCCGUGGCGUCUCCUGCUGCGGGCAACCCGUCCAACGGAAUGCCCCCGAAGGUAUCCCAGCGGUGGGUGCCGGUUAACCGGCCGGCCGUGACGCCUCCUGCUGCAGGCAACCCGUCCGACGGAAUGCCCCCGAAGGUAGUGCCGGUGAACCGACCCAUGGGGACGGGGACGGGGACGUCUCACGGGGCAGGCAAACCGUCGAACGAAAUCCCCCGGAAGGCAUCCAAGCGAUGGGUGCCGGUUAACCGUCCGGCCGUGCCGUCUCCUGCUGCAGGCAAGCCGUCCGACGGAAUGCCCCCGAAGGUAGUGCCGGUGAACCGACCCAUGGGGACGGGGAAGCCUCGCGGGGCAGGCAAACCAUCGAACCAAAUCCCCCGGAAGGUAUCCAAGCAAUGGGUACCGGUUAACCGACCGCCAACUGUGGGGACACCUCGCGUGGCAGGUGAACCCUCCGACAGGCUCAGUGACCUCCCGGACGCGCUGCUGCACCACAUCAUGUCGUUCCUGAAGGCGUGGGAGAUGGUCCGCACGUGCAGGCUCUCGCGGAGGUGGCGCAACCUCUGGGCCUCUGUGCCUUGCAUCGACGUCCGCGUGGGACUCCAUGAUAACCCACCUGAGGAGUUCGCCAAGUUUGUUAACCGGUUGCUGCGCAGCCGGGACGCGCUCACGCCACUGGACACGCUCCGUGUGCGCUCGGUUGGUGAGGAUGAUUUCUAUGAGACUUAUAACGAUGGCAAUGUCAAGAGCUGGAUCCGUACUGCUAUCAAGCGAAAAGCUCGUGCUAUUCAGCUUAAUGGGCAUCUCCACAAGUACAUUACGCUGGAUCGCAUAGACUUCGCCUCUUGCCAUCUCAAAAUCUUGAAACUGUCAUAUGUCGAGCUAGAUGAUAAAGUUGUGAAGCAGCUCUCUUCUCGGUGCCCUUUGGAAGAACUAGAGCUCAAGAGCUGUGUGGUAGGUGCCCAUGAGAUUUUGUCCUUCUCUCUGAAGAGUUUGACCAUGGUCAAGUGCAAGCUUACUAUGAACCUCUCGGUGGAUGCCCCAAACCUCAUGUUCUUUCGUUGCAUCAAACCUGAGAAGUGGGUUCCCGUAUUCAAGAACUCUGUGUCUCUUAUCAGAGGCAGUAUCAUGCUUGAUGACUCUUUAUUAAGUCGUGAGUUUCAAAAGUACCAUGAGGAUGAGGAUGAAUUCCCUCAGACUAGCGAUGAAGAUGACGACAUUGAUAAUGGAAAUGGCCAGUGCAAUGGUAAAAGUGCUGCUGCUGCUGAGGGCUUUCUGGAUAGUAUCUUGUAUGGCAGCUUUUCUGAUUAUUGUGAUGGCUAUUCUGAUGAUUUUUAUGAUGGCUAUUCCGAUGACAUCAAAGAUGAUUAUGAUUAUGGAAGUGAUAUCAACAGCGAUGAUGAUACAUACGAAUAUAGUGAAAUUGCAAAUGGCACUAGGAUAAAUAUUUUGCAAAUGUCUCUGAAUUCAGUAAGGGUGCAUACACCUUACUUGGAGAAUCUCUUUCUCCAACUUGAAAUGAACUUUGACAUCCAAAAUGCACUGGGAAGAUUUAAACCGAACGGAGGAUCAUUUGCUUGCAAACACCUUAGAAUGGUGAAGAUCAAAUGCACCAAGGAUGAUCCUAGAGUCCAUAUGCUGGCACAGUUGUUUAAGGCUAACGACAUACCGCUUGAGAAGAUUUGGGUACGCCGGAGUGGGAGCUUCAGUAGAAGCAAGGCACUUGGGCUGGGCCGCUGGAGGCUGGGAGGCAAGAUAGCAUGA